rnacentral:rRNA from 1 species
CCUACGUGGGGCAGCAGUGGGGAAUAUUGGACAAUGGGCGAAAGCCUGAUCCAGCCAUGCCGCGUGUGUGAAGAAGGCCUUCGGGUUGUAAAGCACUUUCAGUGGGGAAGAAAGCCUUGGGGCUAAUACCCUCGAGGAAGGACAUCACCCGCAGAAGAAGCACCGGCUAACUCCGUGCCAGCAGCCGCGGUAAUACGGCGGGUGCGAGCGUUAAUCGGAAUUACUGGGCGUAAAGCGCGCGUAGGCGGUCUGAUAAGCCGGUUGUGAAAGCCCCGGGCUCAACCUGGGAACGGCAUCCGGAACUGUCAGGCUAGAGUGCAGGAGAGGAAGGUAGAAUUCCCGGUGUAGCGGUGAAAUGCGUAGAGAUCGGGAGGAAUACCAGUGGCGAAGGCGGCCUUCUGGACUGACACUGACGCUGAGGUGCGAAAGCGUGGGUAGCAAACAGGAUUAGAUACCCGAGUAGUC